GUGCUUAACACAUGCAAGUCGAACGGAAAGGCCCUGCUUGCAGGGUACUCGAGUGGCGAACGGGUGAGUAACACGUGGGUGAUCUGCCCUGCACUUCGGGAUAAGCUUGGGAAACUGGGUCUAAUACCGGAUAGGAGCCAUCUUUAGUGUGGUGGUUGGAAAGUUUUUUCGGUGUAGGAUGAGCUCGCGGCCUAUCAGCUUGUUGGUGGGGUAAUGGCCUACCAAGGCGGCGACGGGUAGCCGGCCUGAGAGGGUGUACGGCCACAUUGGGACUGAGAUACGGCCCAGACUCCUACGGGAGGCAGCAGUGGGGAAUAUUGCACAAUGGGCGCAAGCCUGAUGCAGCGACGCCGCGUGGGGGAUGAAGGCCUUCGGGUUGUAAACUCCUUUCGCUAGGGACGAAGCUUUGUGUGACGGUACCUGGAUAAGAAGCACCGGCUAACUACGUGCCAGCAGCCGCGGUAAUACGUAGGGUGCGAGCGUUGUCCGGAAUUACUGGGCGUAAAGAGCUCGUAGGUGGUUUGUCGCGUCGUCUGUGAAAUUCUGGGGCUUAACUCCGGGCGUGCAGGCGAUACGGGCAUAACUUGAGUGCUGUAGGGGUAACUGGAAUUCCUGGUGUAGCGGUGAAGUGCGCAGAUAUCAGGAGGAACACCGAUGGCGAAGGCAGGUUACUGGGCAGUUACUGAUGCUGAGGAGCGAAAGCA
rnacentral:rRNA from 1 species